GACGAACGCUGGCGGCGUGCUUAACACAUGCAAGUCGAACGGAAAGGCCCUGCUUUUGUGGGGUGCUCGAGUGGCGAACGGGUGAGUAACACGUGAGUAACCUGCCCUUGACUUUGGGAUAACUUCAGGAAACUGGGGCUAAUACCGGAUAGGAGCUCCUGCUGCAUGGGGGGGGUUGGAAAGUUUCGGCGGUUGGGGAUGGACUCGCGGCUUAUCAGCUUGUUGGUGGGGUAGUGGCUUACCAAGGCUUUGACGGGUAGCCGGCCUGAGAGGGUGACUGGCCACAUUGGGACUGAGAUACGGCCCAGACUCCUACGGGAGGCAGCAGUGGGGAAUAUUGCACAAUGGGCGGGAGCCUGAUGCAGCAACGCCGCGUGCGGGAUGACGGCCUUCGGGUUGUAAACCGCUUUCGCCUGUGACGAAGCGUGAGUGACGGUAAUGGGUAAAGAAGCACCGGCUAACUACGUG
rnacentral:rRNA from 1 species